UACGUAGGGUGCAAGCGUUAUCCGGAAUUAUUGGGCGUAAAGAGCUCGUAGGCGGUUUGUCGCGUCUGCUGUGAAAACUGGGGGCUCAACCCCCAGCCUGCAGUGGGUACGGGCAGACUAGAGUGCGGUAGGGGAGAUUGGAAUUCCUGGUGUAGCGGUGGAAUGCGCAGAUAUCAGGAGGAACACCGAUGGCGAAGGCAGAUCUCGGGGCCGUAACUGACGCUGAGGAGCGAAAGCAUGGGGAGCGAACAGG
rnacentral:rRNA from 1 species